GUCUACGGCCAUACUACCCUGAACGCGCCCGAUCUCGUCUGAUCUCGGAAGCUAAGCAGGGUCAGGCCUGGUUAGUACUUGGAUGGGAGACCGCCUGGGAAUACCAGGUGCAAUUUUUG
ensembl:rRNA 5S_rRNA 5S ribosomal RNA